rnacentral:lncRNA from 1 species
CAGGCGCUGGCACGUCUCACCCAGCGACAGCGCGGUGAUGUCACAGUGGUGUCACAGUGCUGCGGCCAGCACAGCCCUGGGACAUCACAGCCCUGCCUGACGCCAGCGCUCUGCCCCUUUGUGCCAUCACAGCCCUGCCUCAGCCCCGCCCUCCGCAGUGCCCCAGGAGGGAGCACGGGACAUGGAUUGUCCAAUGUGACACUGCAAAGUUCUUGAGGAGGGCAAGUCCCGCUCAGCAACAUCCGAGCCAUGUGUGUGCUGUCUGCCACAUUCCCGUCCUGAAUCCAAACCCAGCUCUUUGCCGCUCCCUGGGAAGGAAAUGGAUCCUAUCCCAUUGAAAACCAGUACAUCAGCCCAUUCUUCAGCCAGCACACUAAAGCCAGGGAACCUCAGGGAAACGGGAAACUGGACAAGACAAACGCACAUCCAAUCAAUAUGAUUAAUGCAACGUUCUCCUGUUUAUUCAAAAUCAGGCGGUAGUUUAUAUAAGCUUCUAUAUAGUUUACAGGAACAAAAACACUCUGAUUGGUAGGCUAACAUUGUUUACCUUUUCCUUAAAACGGCCUGCACUGUACACCAUAAAACCUAUACUAGUUCACACCCCGUGGUCCCCACAGUACCUUAAGACUAUUUUCUAUCUGCGCCACAACCCUGAAUUUCUAACUGCGUCAGAGGCUUUGAGGGCCCCACCAGGCCUCAAUCUGAGGCCUAGCCUGGAGUAGCUCAACUUUCACAAUUCAUGCCCUCUUUCUCUCAAAAAUGCUGUAACAAUUCCCUCUUUUUCUUUUGAGCUACUCAGGCUGGAGUGAAGGCUCAAUGAACUAAUUUUUGCACACACUGUCUUUGACCCAGCCAGAAAAACCUGAAGAAUUGAGCCAGUUAUCAAAUGAAGUGUCCAUUUGGAGAACACUGCAUUUGGCUCGUUGAGUCUUCUGAGGCAAUUCGAGAACCUGAUGUAUGGUGGGAGCAAAAAGCAUCAACCUACCGAUAUAACAUGGGCCUCCCCUAGCAUUCUGAGGGACUGCUGACCAGGCUCGGUCCCCACAAAUGAGGAAGGUUCCUGGGGGCAGUUUUUCCUGCACUACCUCUUGGAGUCGAAUUGUUACAAUAUUCUAAAUAGUUGUAUUACAAUGGUGAUCUGGGAGACAAUCAAGUGUUGUCAUCUGUCAAUUUUCCAUUUUCUUGAGUUGGUUUGGUAGCAUAAGAUCCAAAUAUCAAACAGUAAUUUCCUGGGACAGAACCCAAAAGACCAAAUUCUUGAAAACUAUCAUCAGUAAAUUUAAGGUUUUGCACAAAUGCAACAGCUUGCGCUCCCAGAGUGCUAUUUAAACUUAUUUGAGCUCAGGUCCAAGUCUUGAACUCUGCCAUGGGACCCAACGAGACUCCAAAAAUUAAACAAGUGCGAAAUAAAAACAUUGAGGCCCACCACAUUCUUCUCAGGUUCUUGAAUACCCUGUCUAACAUGAAAGAAACAAUCUUAAUUCUAAACAUAAACUAUAACUUCUAAUAAACUAACUUCUG